CUGAAGAAAAAAGAGUUGAGGAAAAUCCCAUCACCUGUGCCAACUCCACUGAGGAGAAACGGCAGUACCCAGAAAGUAGAAUCAGUUUGGGUUGAGGAUGGAAGGGGUUUUAGGGCAGAAGAGGGUUGAAGAUGUGAACUGGCUCUGCUCCCUCUAUGAGUCUGAACUUGACAUGUUGAUUAGCAUAAAAAGGAUUGUUCUUCAACGUGCAAGAAUGAUUGGGUGCGAUGAACUUGCCCAAAAGUUUGAUCUCAAUGUGCUUCGAGCUCUUGGCCUUUCACUUGCAAAAAAUCUAUGGAUUAUAUAUUGUAAUUGCCUUGCACGGAGGCUGGACUCAAGAAAAGGCAACAAGUAUGUUGUCCUCAGCUUAAGAAAAGUGCUACUUGUGCCUUUUUUUUUUUAACAACUGAGUGAAGAUCAAAUGAAACCGAGCUCAAUAUGCGGCUUUUUUAUAGUCAUUAAACAAGUGCACAAUACGGGGCUUGACUUUCAUACAGUUCGGAAUAUGGUUGAUGGUUGAUGGUUGAUGGUUGAUGGUUAUAUGAACUUCUCUUAUCUUCCAUUGCUGCAUCUACAUUUGUGUUGAAACUUGUCUUUAGUUUUGUUUCGUGGUGGAAUGGGUUUGGGGUUGAAAAAGGAUAACCGAAUCAAUGGUCCGGUUUAAGGUAUGUUUCAGAAUGACAACUGAAUAUCUGAACCUGACCUGAUUAGUUUAUGCUACGAAAUAUCUUUCCCUUUCUUUUAUUACACCAAAGUAGGAAUACCUUCCUAUUGGCUACUUCCUUUCAGCCACCAGGCUUUCCCUCAUCUCUCUCACUUGAAUAUCAUCUUUACCGCAUUUUUACUGAGGUUUCCAUCUCAACCCCAAGAAAUUAAUCUGUGUUAUAUCUCUCUUAACUUUAUUUCUUCUAGCUGUGGCUGCUUGCUUUAUUUUCUUGGACUUGUUCUACGGAUGGGCACUUGAAUUGCCCGUCCUUCUUUUCGAAUAAUCCUCUUUAUGAUUCUGUUUUUGAAAUACUGAAAUUAGCAGAGGAAAAGAGCAAAUUCUUGCUUUAUUUGGUGUGGCUUUGCUUAUUUUGUUUGGGAAGGUUUGGUUUCAUACCUCUAGUACAAAUCAAAUUCGGGAUAAAGUUUGGUUUGCAUGGGUGUUUCACUGUUUCGGGUUUGGGAUUUGAUAAGGCCUCACUAUAUGUUGGUACUCCAACCGCCUACUUGAUUGGGAUGCCUUUUAAUGUUACCUGUUGAGUCAUUUAUCAAGUUUCAAGUUACCAAAUAGCUAGUCCACUUUUAGGAUGUUUUUGUUUGAGUAUUUAUGUUCUGCAGCUUGGAAUUCUCUGACUUGUAUUACGUGGCUGAGGAUUUGUGCAGCAUUUGUUCUGAUGGAAUAUGUCAAGGAUAAGGUAAAGAAAUUGUCACCGCCCGCGUCUGCUGCUUUUAUGGGAAGUUGCAAUCUGUUAAAACAUAACCUUGGUAAUAUUACGAGUCUUGAAGAGAUAAUGGCAUGUAUUGGUAUUGAAUCGAGAAAGGGUCCAAUAAAAAGGUUAGGUCAGACAACAAGGAUCGAUGUUGUUUCUUUUUUUGGUAACAAUAUGAUGCUUGUGACUGUACACGUAAUAUGUGUAUAUGUGUGUACUGUAUGCAAAUGACUAAAAGCAUAUGUGAACGUACAUGGACAUGUUUAUGCGGGUGAGAGUGGCUAAUCGCCUUUUCUUUUCCUAGACUAUUUAUUCUCUUGUGGUCCUGGUUGUUCAUGCAUUUGGUAUGAUUGUAUGUCUAGUAAUGCAGACAAAAUACGCCGCAGGAAGCACUACCGAGUCUUGAUUUCAUGCUGGUAGUAUUUACAUGAUGUUGAUAAUGAUUGUACAUACUUUAUCGAGUUUCUGGAACCGCGGGAAUCCUGAUAAAGUUUAUGAAAUAUUCUUAUAGGUAUGCAUAAGGUGUUACUUUUUUACUCUUUUUAUCUCCUUGCCAUUAGUUGAUUAACUUUAGUUACAUUUUUUCUGUACCGGAAGGCCGCACAAAGAAACUACACGAACCCAAAAGAAACAGAAAACUGAAGCCAGUGAAUUAUGAGAUCAGGAACUGCAGAGGCAGAGGAGAACAUUCACAUGUUUGAGACACCAGUGAGUUUCGAGUGCGCUGCUUUUGGAAAUAGGUCUCAAAUGUGUUGCUGUACCCGAACAGAUCGAACACGAGCGGAAUUCAUCUCCUUUCGUUCUAUUACAUCACAUGUGUAUGAACCAUAAAGGCCAAGGUCUAAAUUCCUUGGAAUUUUGUACAUAAUUCUGGAAAUAUUAAUGCAAGGUUUCAUUAUAAUUAAUUUA